rnacentral:lncRNA from 1 species
GGGAAAUGCACAGCGUUGAACUUAAAAAGCAAAAGCCAAUGAGGAGCACAAACUUUAUUUCUUCUUACAACAACCAAAAUCGUUUUUAUUUGAGAAAAGCCACCAGCACACCUUCACAGCAGAAAAGAUACACCAAAGUAAUGCAGGUCAGGGGGUCAAAGGUGAAGGGUCACACAUUAUUAAAAAGAAAUCCAAAAGGACGUCUGCAUCAAGAUCUCUCAUUAGUGUUCCAGCGGUGCCUCUCCUUGGGUAAACUUGAACAUUUUGGUAGACAUUCGAGCAGCUUCUUCGGUAAAAAGAUUUUUACAUGACUGCCAUUGCUGUUCCCAUGAUCAUCUUCCGGCUUGUUUUCGGCAGCCAUUUCCCCUCCGCGCGCCACAUCCUCCUCCGCCUCCUCGCGACCGGGACCCAGGCGCGCGCCGCCUCCUCCCGCUGCCGCCGCCGCCGCCGCCGCCGCCGGGCCGGGCACCCCGCGCGCACGGCGCACACCCCGCGCCGCCCAUUGGGUGAGCCGCCGCACUGACACCCGCGGCGGCCAAUCGCGGCGGGCCGGGGGCGGGCGGCCGGAGGGGCUGGGCGCGACGGACGGCAGCGCCCGCCAAUAGGCGCCCGGCGGCGCCACAGUGACACGCGCCGCAGCCACUCAGCG